AAUCAACGCUGGCGGCGUGCCUCAGACAUGCAAGUCGAACGAUUAAACUUUCCUUCGGGAAAGAUAUAAAGUGGCGCACGGGUGAGUAACACGUAAGUAAUCUACCUUCGAGUGGGGAAUAACGUCCGGAACGGACGCUAAUACCGCAUAAUGCAGCGGCACCUAAUGGUGACAGUUGUUAAAGGAGCAAUUCGCUUGAAGAGGAGCUUGCGGCAGAUUAGCUAGUUGGAAGGUAACGGCUUACCAAGGCUACGAUCUGUAGCUGGUCUGAGAGGAUGAUCAGCCACACUGGGGACUGAGACACGGCCCAGACUCCUACGGGAGGCAGCAGUUAGGAAUCUUGGACAAUGGGCGCAAGCCUGAUCCAGCCAUGCCGCGUGAGUGAUGAAGG
rnacentral:rRNA from 1 species